GAGGGAGCCCUAGCACAGGUGCUGCAUGGCCGUCGUCAGCUCGUGCCGUGAGGUGUUGGGUUAAGUCCCGCAACGAGCGCAACCCCCGCCGUUAGUUGCCAGCGGUUCGGCCGGGCACUCUAACGGGACUGCCCGCGAAAGCGGGAGGAAGGAGGGGACGACGUCUGGUCAGCAUGGCCCUUACGGCCUGGGCGACACACGUGCUACAAUGCCCACUACAAAGCGAUGCCACCCGGCAACGGGGAGCUAAUCGCAAAAAGGUGGGCCCAGUUCGGAUUGGGGUCUGCAACCCGACCCCAUGAAGCCGGAAUCGCUAGUAAUCGCGGAUCAGCCAUGCCGCGGUGAAUACGUUCCCGGGCCUU
rnacentral:rRNA from 1 species